GGUUCCUGGUCCCCGGGAGAAGCCAAGAAGGUCCUGAGUUCAAGAGAAACAGGUGUCUAAACAGAAGUAAAAUCCUGUGGAAGUUUAGGAUAAUUGAAUUACUCGCAAAUUGGAGUAUCCUGGAAAACUUCCUGGAGGAAGUGGCCUGUGCUUUGUAUCAGGAAAAAUAGAUGGAAAAGUGGUGAUGACAGAAAAUUGUCUGUUGCUUUUGGAAAAGAAAGAAAAAAAAAAGUGACGUUUCCCUGUGUUUGACAUCCUCUUCCUUAAAGGUAUCAGAAUGGUGCGUGGGUUUGGUUUGAAGCUAAAGAAAGGAGAAAGAGCCAGAGAAGAAGAAAAAAAGAUUCCCUGCAGCCUGCCAGGGACGUGGUAACUGCCCUGCCAAGAGUGAUCCUGGGAGAGCUAUUGAAAGAGCUCUGAGGCCUCCUUGGCAUAUGGAAGUUCCCAGGCUAGGGGUGGAAUCCGAGCCACAUCCGUGACCUACACCGCAGCUCACGACAACGCUGGAUCAUCAACCCACUGAGUGAGGCCAGAGAUCGAACCCGAGUUUUCCUGCACACCAGUUAGGUUUGUUACCACUGAGCCGCAACAGGAACUCCCAGGAGCUUUAUGAGUGAAUGAAUAAAUGCAUCAUUCCACCCCCACCUCACCGCCGCCACCCCGGGGGAGAGAGUCUACAGCUUUUAGCAGAAUCUCAAAGUUUUUUGUAACGCAGGAAGGUUGAGGAAGCUGAUCCAGGCAAUCUCGAUGUAUAAGUGGGUACUCUAAGGCCCAGAGAGGGCCAGGGACUGGUUCA
rnacentral:lncRNA from 1 species